UACGUAGGGUGCAAGCGUUGUCCGGAAUUAUUGGGCGUAAAGAGCUCGUAGGCGGUUCGUCGCGUCGGCUGUGAAAAUCCCGGAGCUCAACUCCGGGUCUGCAGUCGAUACGGGGCGGACUUGAGUACUGCAGGGGAGACUGGAAUUCCUGGUGUAGCGGUGAAAUGCGCAGAUAUCAGGAGGAACACCGGUGGCGAAGGCGGGUUCUC
rnacentral:rRNA from 1 species